GGGCAAGUGGCGAAGAGGUUAACGCUGCGGACUGCAAAUCCGCCAUGCGCCGGUUCAAAUCCGGCCUUGCCCU
rnacentral:tRNA from 1 species